rnacentral:lncRNA from 10 species
CCCAGGAGGUGGACAUGGACGUCAGCCUGGGGCAGGAGAAGGGAAGCUGCAGUCAAAUGUCAACAGGAGGGGCCGGGCACCGUGGCUCACAUCUGUAAUCCCAGCACUUUGGGAGGCCAAGGUGGGUGGAUCACUUGAGGUCAGGAGUUCCAGACCAGCCUGGUCAACAUGGUGAAGCUGUCUCUACUAAAAAUACAAAAACUGGCUGGGUGUGGUGGUGUAUGCCUGUAGUCCCAGCUACUCGAGAAGCAGAGGUUGCAGUGAACAGGAGAUUGUGCCACUGCACUCCAGCCUGGGCAGCAACAGAGUGAGACUCUGUCUCAAAAAAAAAAAGAAAAUGUCAGUGGGAGACUAGAAGUUAGCUCAACACAGUGGAGUGGGAGGAAGCACAUCCCAAGCUGGGGAAGGACGUGCCAGCAGGUAAAGAUAUGGGGGAGAGACAGGACUGUGCAGUGUUGUCAGGGCUGAAGCCAAGGGUGGGAGCAUGGAGAGAGGAGGGCCUGGAAGUAGAUGGGGUCCAUGAGGAGGGUUCUUAGCAUCCUUAUCCCCCAACUUGGCCAUGGGAGACCAGAAAAGUUGGUCAAUUAUCCAAAAGCAGUCAUAUUUAAGUCUUUAAAAGAUGUUUACUUUAGGCUUUAUUAUUUGCUUUUGUUUAUAAAGACAGACACAUGCUCAGGAACUGGCUGAGAUGAUGCCUUCACACGGAUGGAUGGAAUACCCACAAGAUGAAAAAUGUCUGGAGCAAAAACCUUACCUGAACUCCAGUAGAAGGUGCUCUUCGGCUUGAUGACAUUCCUGUCUGAGUACAGCACCCACACUUCCAGAUCUGCAGUGGAGGGAGUCAGUGAAGAGCUGACCAGCGCGGGGCUGACCUGCUCACACCGGGCACUUGCACGCACCUCCACCUUUAGACUGCUCACCAUCACAGGGCCGCUUUCUGACCACUCAGGGAGAGUGAGGCGGAGACAAAUCUUUACCCUGCCUGAGACCAGAUUCAGUCUUCGCUCCCUGGAUGCAAUUGUUCUGAGGGCCACAUUCCUCUGCUCACUUGUUUGAUGGAGCAAGAACAGAUCAUCUAAGGAUGCUGGAAAGGUUAAGGACCUUCCUGGAGGGCACUCGCUGUGUAUCUCUGGUUAGGUUGGCGGUGACAUUCACUCUGAGAUGGCAUGAUCAGUAAACACACCACUUGGGGUGGGUGUUUUUGAGAACGUGUGUACAGCAGAUUCAAAUGACUGUCCUAGGCUCUGGGACCCCAAAAGCAAGUGUCCUUGAAAAUGACUCAGGUGCUUAGAUCUACAUAUGUGACACUGUGCUGAGUGUCCCUGUACAGGCCUGUACAUGGCUUUAAAGUAGUACAUGGCAGAUGUGGCAUAGA